rnacentral:rRNA from 1 species
CAGUAGCCGCGGUAAUACAGAGGGUGCGAGCGUUAAUCGGAUUUACUGGGCGUAAAGCGUGCGUAGGCGGCUUUUUAAGUCGGAUGUGAAAUCCCUGAGCUUAACUUAGGAAUUGCAUUCGAUACUGGGAAGCUAGAGUAUGGGAGAGGAUGGUAGAAUUCCAGGUGUAGCGGUGAAAUGCGUAGAGAUCUGGAGGAAUACCGAUGGCGAAGGCAGCCAUCUGGCCUAAUACUGACGCUGAGGUGCGAAAGCGUGGGGAGCAAACAGGAUUAGAUACCCCUGUAGUCCCUGUCUCUUAUAA